rnacentral:rRNA from 1 species
AUCAUGGCUCAGGAUGAACGCUAGCGGCAGGCUUAACACAUGCAAGUCGAGGGGCAUCGGGAGUAGCAAUACUGCCGGCGACCGGCGCAAGGGUGCGUAACGCGUGAGCAACAUGCCCGUAUCAGGGGGAUAAUCCAUGGAAACGUGGUCUAAUACCCCAUAGUAAUUAUGUAAGGCAUCUUAUAUAAUUUAAAGCUUUGGUGGAUACGGAUUGGCUCGCGUGACAUUAGCUAGAUGGUAAGGUAACGGCUUACCAUGGCUACGAUGUCUAGGGGUUCUGAGAGGAAGGCCCCCCACACUGGAACUGAGACACGGUCCAGACUCCUACGGGAGGCAGCAGUGAGGAAUAUUGGACAAUGGAUGGAAAUCUGAUCCAGCCAUGCCGCGUGCCAGGAAGACGGCCCUAUGGGUUGUAAACUGCUUUUGUAUGGGAGCAAUAAGGGCUACGCGUAGUCCGAUGAGAGUACCAUACGAAUAAGCACCGGCUAACUCCGUGCCAGCCGCAGC